GGGCCAUUAACUCAGUUGGCUAGAGUGCUUCCAUGACAUGGAAGAAGUCGGGGGUUCAAGUCCCUCAUGGCCCA
rnacentral:tRNA from 1 species